GUAGUUGCUUCUGGGGCUUGUAGGAUGCUUUUAGGGCUAGGCAGGGGCCAGCAUGAGGAGGAUUUACCUCUGUGGGGAUUUACCAGAAUAUGAGACCAAGAUGCCAUAUCUCUAAUUACAGAAACAUGGUUCCUUCAGCUGCUUCAAACUGAUGAGAGCACUCCACCCAUUCCUCACCAGCUGCCUGGACCCACCCCCAUUUUACAGGUCUUCUGAUCAGCUGGGAAGUGGCACACUCCAUUGUACCCUGUGUUCUGGGAGUAGGCAGUACAAGGACUUCUGGCUCAGUGAAUCAUUCAGAUUUUUCAGAUCUUGGUUCCGCUUGAGUAUGUAUUCCAGGGUCUGAAGCAAAUAUGUAUUUGUUCAAGCCUGACUAACUGUUCUCAAAACCACCUAUCAAGGAGACCGUUCUGUGAAUGGAAGCUGAAGAAGUUGCUGCUGCUCCUGUGGAAGAACUACCUUCUGAAGAGAAACAAAGGGGAUGGAACAACUCAAAGUGUUGACAUCAGCAGGAGUACUGGAAAAAAAUCAGAAACAUCUGCUUUUGUAUGAUCAAAUAGGAAUAUCAUAAGGUUGAACGAUUAAGAAGUAUGAGUCUCCAGGACAUCAUAUGAAAAUCAGUAUAGAGUAUGAAAUAAUAAUUAAUGUCUAGAAUUGCUGGACAGGAUUGAAUAAUUGCUUACAACCUUUCUGCUUCUGGGAAGGUGCAAGGUCCUCUAGGAAACAACAAGCUGUUGAAAACAAAAUGAUUUCCUGACUUCCACAUCCUCUUAGCUUUAGGGUGGCUCUUAGUUGGUGGAUUUCUAACCUUUCCCAAAAGCUCCUAUCUAAAUCUUAACUGUUGCAAAUCAACUCCUUCUCCUCAGACAUAAAAACAGACAAUCUGGACUCAUAUCCUAUUACAUUCUUGGCAUUAAUAUCUCUUAGUGGCUUGUUUUACAGAACUCUUUGCUGAGAACACAGCAGGAAGAGAAAUAACUCCGUAGUUUUUAUAAAUUUAGGACUGGUCUACUUUGGCUCUGUCUGUUUAGUGACCAAAUAGCCUGAAGUCAAGCCAGACUGUCUGUGGAAAAAGUUUCCUGUAGCUCCAGAAAGCAGCCAGAUCCCAACUCUUCCAGCAUCAGACAUCAGCAGAAGCCUCUUUGUGCCAAUUGCCUAAAUGCCCCACGGCAAGACACAUUCAAGGGAUAUGGGGAACAGAUCUGUUGCUUGGUUCGGAGUUCUGGCACUGGUGCCAGCAGGUGAACCCUCCCUACUGGCACAGUUACUCACUAGAAGUACCACUAGCCUCAGCAGCUUCCGUGCUAAAUGUGUAUCUGCCUUCGCUGCAUGAAGAUGCCUACCUCAGCACGUGGAUGGAAGAAGAGAUCCAACCUCAUUUCUCUUCUCUGAAGGAAAAGUAGCUGCAGCAUUACUACGAAGUGUAGUGACGUCAGUGCCUGUGUCAACCUGGGACUUGAGAAAAAGAUUCUGAAUGUUUUUUCUUGAGUGUUUGGGAUGGGGUAGCUUGCUUGGAGAAGUCAGUUCUUUUGAAGGAUCCAGAGGUAACAAAGAAAAUGUGGGAACUUUUUCCUUUUUAAAUUCCUCCAAAAUAAUAAUUAAAAAAAACCCAACAAAACAUAAAAUCCACAACAAAACAAAGAACAACACCAAAACUUCUAUUCUCCCAAAAGAAUCUAGGCAUUGACUGAAGUAAUUUUUUUCUUGGUUCAUAUACAGAGGGCAGCAAAGUUGAAGGUGAAAAAUGAACUAAAACUUGGGUGGAGCAGGGUGGGCUGGCAGAGCUCUUCCAAACCUAUUUACUACUUUGGCACCCACAUUUUCAUAAAGUGCCAUUGUUGCAAGUGUAGAUCUCCACUCAUCUCUCUUAUAUAAUGAAUACAGUAGCACUAGGAUGCUGGGUGUUUGCAGAAGACUUGGAAGAGCACCUCACUUCAAAACUACCCAGGCAGGGUCCAGCCGAAUAAGAGCCAGGGUAGCAAAUCCUUUGGCAACAUGAAGGGAAGCGUCACUUGGUAAUGUCAUUGCUUUUUAAAGGAUGCUGUCUAUCUUUUGGUCAUCUAGUGGAGUGGUUGUAGUUGAGGACCCUUAUCUAUAUCAGCCUGUGGAAAAUGAUUAUAAAGGAUACAAACACAGCAGUGUACACUGAACUGUGAUUAAAGGUUGAAGAGACCAUAAGACAUAAAAUGUUCACAAAGCUCUGUGCCUCAUUACCUGGGACCACGCAUUUGUCUUGGGCUAGAAACAGCCAAGAGGAAAAACAAGGCCUUGUCAUGCUGACAGAU